GAUGAACGCUGGCGGCGUGCCUAAUACAUGCAAGUCGAGCGAACGGACGAGAAGCUUGCUUCUCUGAUGUUAGCGGCGGACGGGUGAGUAACACGUGGAUAACCUACCUAUAAGACUGGGAUAACUUCGGGAAACCGGAGCUAAUACCGGAUAAUAUUUUGAACCGCAUGGUUCAAAAGUGAAAGACGGCAUUGCUGUCACUUAUAGAUGGAUCCGCGCUGCAUUAGCUAGUUGGUAAGGUAACGGCUUACCAAGGCAACGAUGCAUAGCCGACCUGAGAGGGUGAUCGGCCACACUGGAACUGAGACACGGUCCAGACUCCUACGGGAGGCAGCAGUAGGGAAUCUUCCGCAAUGGGCGAAAGCCUGACGGAGCAACGCCGCGUGAGUGAUGAAGGUCUUCGGAUCGUAAAACUCUGUUAUUAGGGAAGAACAUAUGUGUAAGUAACUGUGCACAUCUUGACGGUACCUAAUCAGAAAGCCACGGCUAACUACGUG
rnacentral:rRNA from 1 species